UCGAGCGAACAGAUGAGGAGCUUGCUCCUCUGACGUUAGCGGCGGACGGGUGAGUAACACGUGGAUAACCUACCUAUAAGACUGGGAUAACUUCGGGAAACCGGAGCUAAUACCGGAUAAUAUAUUGAACCGCAUGGUUCAAUAGUGAAAGACGGUUUUGCUGUCACUUAUAGAUGGAUCCGCGCCGCAUUAGCUAGUUGGUAAGGUAACGGCUUACCAAGGCAACGAUGCGUAGCCGACCUGAGAGGGUGAUCGGCCACACUGGAACUGAGACACGGUCCAGACUCCUACGGGAGGCAGCAGUAGGGAAUCUUCCGCAAUGGGCGAAAGCCUGACGGAGCAACGCCGCGUGAGUGAUGAAGGUCUUCGGAUCGUAAAACUCUGUUAUUAGGGAAGAACAAAUGUGUAAGUAACUAUGCACGUCUUGACGGUACCUAAUCAGAAAGCCACGGCUAACUACGUGCCAGCAGCCGCGGUAAUACGUAGGUGGCAAGCGUUAUCCGGAAUUAUUGGGCGUAAAGCGCGCGUAGGCGGUUUUUUAAGUCUGAUGUGAAAGCCCACGGCUCAACCGUGGAGGGUCAUUGGAAACUGGAAAACUUGAGUGCAGAAGAGGAAAGUGGAAUUCCAUGUGUAGCGGUGAAAUGCGCAGAGAUAUGGAGGAACACCAGUGGCGAAGGCGACUUUCUGGU
rnacentral:rRNA from 1 species